GUCCGCCAGUGUUCCGGCGCCCAAGCCAUGGGGGCACUGAGCACAGGACUCUGGGGGAGCCGCCUCGGCGGCGAUGACGCCUCCAAUCCCCCAGGCCCCGGCUUCUGGGGGAUGUAGGCGCCGCUUCGCCGCUCAGCGAUUGCUUCCACCGAGAUGGGGGCGGCGGCGAGCGGGGAUACAAUGUUGCCCUGUCCGCGUGGAAGCCUCUCAACCCUCAAAUGUUCAUCUUUGCUGGCUUAUUCGUUUAGGCAACCCUCAUUUAGCUGCCUCUUUUUUUGUUAAGGAAAAAAGAAGCUUUGAGUUCAAUUGCUGCUAGAAUCUUUCAUCGAACUGUGAUACCAGCUGAUUUACCAUUAUUAUCUGUUUAUUCUUUUAUUUGGAAUGCUAUGACAAGUCAUCACUGAAGAGAAUAAAGGAACAGAACGCAGUGCCGCCACCACUUCAUCAUGUGGGGGUGCUGUCUUGUGCAUAGAUGUCAAUUCAGUUAUAAAAAGUUCUUAGGUUCUUCUUGAUUGAGGUAUUAAAAAAUCUUUAUAGAUUUCCAUAAGUGGUGGAGCCAAGUACAGGUUUGUGCAUUCUUCUGUUAUGGUCAAAUGUCAUCAUGCCUGCUUGGCAACAUGCGCAAGUGGAGGUGGAGUCAAGUACAGCUUGGUGACAACUUUCUGCUCCCAGAAAAGGCCAUGAUAUUUGCUUGACACCUAGCUAAGGUAGUGGAACCUCGUAGCUGUUCCAGCCAAUGGUAAGGCCAUGGUUAGCUGCUCCAUGGGUAGGAAAAUCUCUAUUUUUGGGAAACUGGACCAGUUUAGCGAUAUCAGUUUAGGGCUUUCUCAUCCAUACAUCAAAUGAUUUGCAUUGGUUUCUCUCUCUCUCUUUUUUUCUCUCCACUGAUUUCAGUGAUUUUUAAGUUUCUUUCCAGUGAAGUUUACUAGUUCUGUAUUCUGUGGAUAAAAAUUGGUCAGUUGCCAGAGUUCGAUGGGAGCAAUAACGGACGGCUACCAAUAAUUGGUAUACAGCCGCUUUUGUACCCUGCGCAUCUUUUGGUCGGUAUACUGAAUGAUGGUGAUGUUUCUUGGUUAUUGUCAUAAGCUGUUAUUGGACACCUCUGAUGUUUGAAGCCCCUCGGCAAAAAGGAGCCGUCCACUGAGCCUUUGUCCUAGAAUAUGUAGAGUGGUAAGUAACCAACCUGAAUGACGGGAGGAUCAUUGUGGGCCAAUGCCGGGAGGCAAGUAGAUACUCAGAUCAUGACAUGAAGACUUUUGAAGCAAGAGGCCAUGCUGCAACAGAUCUCCAUGGAUCAUGUCGCCCCUUGAUUGAGUACUAGUCAUUAUCCAAGCACACAAGGUAAAACUCAAAAGUUGUGAUUGUGGUUGUUGACAGUGUCCAAGUUCCGUGCGGAUUCGGUUCAUGGAUUGGGCGGUCAACGGCACGAGAUUUGGAGAGAUUCAUUUUUUAUCCCCCAAUCACAACAGUUGCAUGAAAGCUCUUAAGCUCAUAUCCACCCUGCAAGGACUGGAGCAUUUCGUGCCUUGACUUUUUUUUUUUUGCUACUGCUGCGUUAUUUGAAUUGACCUGAAAAAUGUGGAAAUAGUUUAUAAAUAUAACCCGAAAACAGCCGAAGUUAAAUUCGCUUAUCUUGGCGUGCACUUUUGUCCGGGUACUGUGCACAUGAAAGUCAUCAAAUGUGUAGCCUUUCUGUGGACGCACAAGUCUGGUUGUAGUCCUGUCCUGGUAUCACCGUGCAUGUGCUUCAGAAGAAGAGCAGUGAAGAGGAAGGCCAACGGGAAUGGGCUCUGAUCCGGGAUCCAUUCGCGUGAUGCCAACGAGUUCAGUUGCCCACCAAGCAGUACCAACUUGCAUUGUGGUUUCGCUUUCGAUGUGCGCACCGAAAUGGCCACCGGUUUCUGGAGCCUCUUGAGUCAUCUACCUUUGGCAUCUAGGAUGUGUGACUCUUUUCUUUGGAGGUUCACUUCUUGGUACAACAUUCUUGGCAACAUCACAGAUUCUUUCCUGCACCCACUUGCAUUUCAAGCGAAAACUCUGAACGACAGUACGACACGGGCAUCAAGCGGAGAUCACGAGUGCAGUCUGAAGUGUAGAUUGAGGCUCUGAUGGUCACCAGAUACCAAGAGCACGCCUCUGAAUAAUCCACUGAGCUAAGCACCAUGUGAUGUCUGAUCCGCUGCCAGUUUGCUCGAUCGGCACCAACGACUCAGAUGACUAGGCCGAUGUACUGCAACAGCAUUCACAGAUCUUAUCUCUUAUUCACAGCAGUGAUCUACUGACUACUGGUACCCCUCGCAGUUGCAACACUGCAAAGAGCAC